CAGCCGCCGCGGUAAUACGGAGGGUGCAAGCGUUACUCGGAAUCACUGGGCGUAAAGCGCGCGCAGGCGGCUAUUUAAGUUGGAUGUGAAAGCCUACGGCUCAACCGUAGAACUGCAUCCAAAACUAUUUAGCUAGAGUGUGGGAGAGGAAGAUGGAAUUAGUUGUGUAGGGGUAAAAUCCGUAAAGAUAACUAGGAAUACCAAAAGCGAAGGCAAUCUUCUGGAACAUUACUGACGCUGAGGCGCGAAAGCGUGGGGAGCAAACAGGAUUAGAUACCCUGGUAGUCCACGCCCUAAACGAUGAAUGUUAGUCGUCGGGUAGCUAGUCUAUUCGGUGAUGCAGCUAACGCAUUAAACAUUCCGCCUGGGGAGUACGGUCGCAAGAUUAAAACUCAAAGGAAUAGACGGGGACCCGCACAAGUGGUGGAGCAUGUGGUUUAAUUCGAAGAUACGCGAAGAACCUUACCUAGCCUUGACAUAUAUUAGAACACUUUAGAGAUAGAGUAGUGCCUUCGGGAGCUUUUAUACACGUGCUGCACGGCUGUCGUCAGCUCGUGUCGUGAGAUGUUGGGUUAAGUCCCGCAACGAGCGCAACCCUCGUCACUAGUUACUAACGGUUCGGCCGAGGACUCUAGUGAGACUGCCUUCGCAAGGAGGAGGAAGGUGAGGACGACGUCAAGUCAUCAUGGCCCUUACGGCUAGGGCAACACACGUGCUACAAUGGCCAGGACAAUGA
rnacentral:rRNA from 1 species